CUCCCUCUCCUUCCUCCGAGCCGCGGCUCCUCUCCUCCUUAUUGGCGCCGUGCGGUCCGGCGCGGCUCGCAGCGCGGGUGUUGGAUCUAUCCCGACUCGGACCUUCCUCUCUGCGGCCGCUUAAGGGUCCGGGCGCAGCGCUUCUCCCCGGCGGUGCGGGCUGCUUCUCCUUCUUUACUCUGCAGUGCACCCCCGCAACUUUUAUAAUAAUAAGGUUUUGCGGGGCGGUUCGUGGCACAAAAAGCCCAUCCCGCUGCGAGGGGGGGGGGGGGGGGGGAAGAGCCAACUAAUUUACCAGCGUUCGAUUAAAUCCACUUGCCUCCUCCUUCCCCGGUAAACCGGAGAGACGUCCCGGUCCCUCGCGAGGACGGUUACCGGGUCAUAACGCCAAGUUCUUUGAACAAAAAGUGUAUUCCAGUCACACGUGGGACAGUUAGAAACUGCAAUGCAGCAGCGCACAAAAGAAGAGCAGCGCGCCGCCGAGCGCACGGACCCGACAACAGGGACGGGAAUCUGUUGGGGGGGAGAAAAAGUGUUUGGGAUGCUGCUGUCGGAUCUCCUCUCACCUUCAGCGAGCUGCGUUCUCCUCCUCCUCCUCCUCCUCCUCCUCCUUUCUUUCUUCUUCUCCGCAGUGGAGCAACGUGCCAAGCCGGAAGAUUCCUUCACUUCCGGUAGGAGGCGUCUAAUGGGGACGUCGACGCCCCCGAAAGAGGGCCGCCGCCGCCGCCGCCGACACCUCGGGGACUCGGAACGUGUGCAGCCGCCGCGACAAUCGGCGCCCGUCGGCGUCACAAUGACGAGGACGCAUCAGGACUCGGCGUUCCACGAACUUCAUCCGAACCUGCGAAGCGUCAAAGGUUUGCAGAGAAAGCCACAUGCGUGACGGUAUCGCACCUUUCUGGGCUUUCGUUCUCUGGCUACAGAUCACGCGGCUGACGGAUGAGACGUGGCGUGUUCCUGUGCGCUGCGUUCUGAGGGGCUCCUUCAUAAGAGAUACGAAAACCUCUUCCUGUGCACGUCAAGGUCCAAUGAGCCAGACGUCGCACAUCCAUCACCUCAUCGUAACGAUCCAACAGGGGCUGGAAACCGGCCGGACGCGGCUCAAUCGCCACCACAAACAACGCUACGCAGAUGGUGGAUAUGAAUCUAAAACCAAACCGCCGGUGGAAAAGGGGGCGGAGAGGGGAGUGAAAGACGUGUCGAAGGUUGAAGGUGAAGAUGUUCACGUCGGCAACUACUCUCGUUUUCUUGUUUCCUUCUCUGUUCCUCUCCUCAGAUGCUUCCCCCCCCCUCGUUUCCUCCCCACGAGUCGGAAACACGUGGCAGACAUUGUUCCUGCCCAGUGCGCGUUGACACAUCGCUAUGGAGACAAUGCCCCCCCCCCCCCUCCCUCCCCCCUCAGGGGCCAGGACGCGGGCGUCAGGGCCGGGGUCGAGAACAGUUAGAGUAAAUGCUGUUAUUUAACAGACUGCAGAGUCAAACGGUGACCUUUACCCUGCUGGUGGGCCGAUGCAGAGAUGAAGGAAAAGAGAUUUGGGGGGGGGGGGGGGUAAGCGCACACACACACACACACACACACACAGAGUUGUGUUGGCGCAUACGUUCUCAUUUAAAACCACGCGCUCAUGCAUGACAAUCUGGUAUUCUUAUUAGCGAUGCAGAAGAUAAUCGAGUGCACACUCGCUGACUCUUCUGGUUGCAUGUCGGCGCUAACACGCGUGUGUGUGUGUGUGUGCGCGUGUGGUGAAUCGGGCCGUUCUGCAGAGAGAGUUUUCCUGUCAGACUCCACUACUGCAGGGAUGUGCUGAUAGAGGCGUUUUAAGAGCAGGAGGCCGGAGGCCUGGAGGAACUCGGAGAAAAAUCUGCGGGGGCGGGAGAGGGGGAGACAGCGCAAAGCAGGAGAAGCAACGUAGAUAAAGAAAAUCGGAAUUGCAGCAGAAAAUAAACAAGGUUAUAGAAAUAGCGGGGGGGGGGGGGGGGGGGGGGGGGGNNNNNNNNNNNNNNNNNNNNNNNNNNNNNNNNNNNNNNNNNNNNNNNNNNNNNNNNNNNNNNNNNNNNNNNNNNNNNNNNNNNNNNNNNNNNNNNNNNNNGAGAGAGAGAGAGAGAGAGAGAGGAACGCCAUCAUGUGACUUCUUUCCACUCCGCCUUUCACCUUUUUUAUUCCAAGAAAACUCUCCCUCUGCACUGGUGGUUUCGGGCGCUGUAAUGAGAUAAAUAAAUCCUUUUUUCUCCCUCCUUCUAUUUAACAUGCACUUUGGCAAACAAAUGAGAAAUCAAUGAGGAGCGGCCUCAGUACGCGGAGCGUGCCCCGCCUGCCACGAGCUGAAGCGCGGCGGAGGAAUCUGGAGGCUCAUGAAAGCGAAGAAUAAAACGCGUGAGCGUAAAUAAUUCCCUUACAGCAAAAAGAAGCAGACGACAAUGGAUUCCUCACAGAUGCGUGAGACAGCGGAGGACAUGUCAGCCGCCAUCAAACAGGAAGGGGACGGUUUACAGGCGCUGAACAAGCCGUUCCCAAGACCAUCUGCACCCCCCUGUGAAGUCCCAAUGCAAAGCUUGAACAACCUUUUUAGCGCUUUGCCUGAUAUCUUCGUGCAACGGAGACCAAGAGGUAGCAACAAAGCAGUGGGAGACCUGAAGGGGACGAAGACAAAGCCGGGACGAGGCCACGUAUACGCGCACCGCGGGCUUCGCGGGAGUCGUGGUGUACAGAUGGUCCCGGCAGAGCGAACAACCACCGUAUCGAAAGGACUCGUGCGGCUAAAUGCCUCACGCGCACACGCGGCGCCAGGUAGCGCGUGUAAUGGGCCGUCCAGAGGCGGCGUCCAACACGCUUUACAUGUGCCUGAACGCUGUGAAACAGGCAGCCCGGAUUAGGGAACAACAGCUGGCAGCCUUAGGGGGGAGGGGGGGGGGGACCUGGAGGCAAGACGGGGGAGUUUGAGCCGCUCCGGGCCCGCUAUGAGGCGGGGGGAGGGGGGGGACCCCGGGGGGGGGACCCCCCCCCGGGCAAGAGGAGCCCGACUACUCGAGUUGGACCAGGAACCAGCAAUGAAACGCUGAACGUGUAACACCCGGGUUUGGAGCGAAUCUCGUACAGUAGCGUAUGUCUGACGGUGAGGUUAUCGCAGCAGUCCAGGCCCUUAAAGCAGUGGUUCCCCAAACCUUUUCUGUCAGGCCCCCCUUUGAGGAUUUAGGGGCCAAUGAAGAAAUAGGGUCCUUCCUUCUUUGUUUUGAAUGAACUGAGGAGGGAAACUGUCUUUGAAUCCAGCCAUUUCUAACUAUUAGAAACUAAUGAAAUGGAUCCACGGAAGUCAAUCUCUCACAGUAAGUUUAUCAUGUGAAGGACGCAGAACAUUUUGACUCUUUCUUACUUUUGAUUGGUGGUUUAAUUGGAAGCUUUCCAUCAACCUUGUUGAGAUAUCAAGGCCGUUGAGCUGUUUGAACAUCCAAUAUCUGCUUUCAAAUGCGUCUUGGGAUGAAGCAAAUGCCUGCUGCUCUUCCCCCUCUCCGCACGCGCUGACGGGUGGAACCUCGAGAACUCCGAAUCGUACCUGCUCGAGUGCAACAAUGUGUUUGCUUUUCGCCUGCUUACAGGUGGAACUACUACCUCCUUCCCCUCGACGGCUCCCACACCGCGAUAAACGACAUGACCGUGGUUGAUUUGUUUCAUCAAAUGGAAUGAGUGGAAAAGGAGACUCAACGAAGCGAGCGCGUCUACGUGAAGUCACGGUUAGGAAAGGGAGGCCUGGCCAUUGGUUCCAUCGCAGCUUGUGAAAACCCUUUUUUUUCACGCAGCGGCCUGCUCCGAGGUGCCCGUCUCCGACCUGAGCGGAUCAAUACGGCCCGUAAUGGAUCCGUUUGGGUGGGUUACACCCGGCAGUCUGCGCUCGUCUCGAGUCCGCAUCCCCUCGGCUCAAAUAGCUCCCCACGCGGCUCGAGUGCUGUUUAUCCGGAGAAAACAAAGCUUGUAAAUUUCUACAAGGCUGUUUUCCGGGAGUUGAAUGAUUUUGCCAUUUCAUGAUAAUAAUGCGGCCGGGGGGGGUUGCGAGCGUCCUCCCCACUGCCGGGCUUCCAGCUGCGGCGCCGCUUUGGGGCCAGCGCUGCCUCCGUGGCCUGAGGGGAAACCGGGCUCCUCACAGAGGGGAAGUUACGGCCAGGUAAAUUACAGCCUCUGCUGCUGCAUCGCUAAUUGCGU
ensembl:lncRNA